ensembl:lncRNA
AAUCACCACAACUUCUGUUGAAAAGAAACAAAGCCCAAACGAUUGGCUCUUGUCUGCUUAAUCCUACCCCCACUUAGUGCCUCUCAAGUUUCAAACAGCAGUCCUGCCUACCGACUUUCUGUUCUUUCUGCUUAGUCCUUUAAGCUGUUAAUUAGGUGCCUUCUUAGUGAUUCUGUGAGCCCCUUAGGUAUUUGCAUUCCUAAAUGUUUCCAGGGGUUCAAUAGAACUCAUUUCACAUACCCAAGAAGUGUGCAGCCUUGGCUUUUAGUAACUACUCAACUUAAUAGGCUUUCAAGCUAUUACUGUCUUCAAGAAACACAUCUACAAAUCUCUGCCAGAAGCUGCUAUGGGUGGGAGCGUUUUGCACUGCUCUUCUUGAAACCGAAGCAUUGUACAGCCCAGCAGGCAAUAGCCACAGACAAAACAGAUCAGAUAGAAAAGGUGUUGCAGGGAGUAGUCUGUAAGUUUAACUCUGCCUAGCUCUGGAUGUAGACUUUCUGGUUCUACUGCCACUCUUCAGAAAUGUGAAGAAGAGAUUGAAAAUGUGGUGUGCAGAAGCCAGGAAGGAAAAUCUCAUGCUUUUAAGAACUCUGCUCUGUAGUUGGAUGAAUCUACCUUCUCUGCUUAAAAGUAGAGAAGACAGAUGAAUGAGCUUGAGCUGUACUUUCAAGGCUUACCACAUGUAGCAGUCUGAAGGGGAUCUGUGGAGUUUGUCUUGAGAAAAUACCACUGUUUGGGAACUAUUCCAGCUCCCAGAUGCUGAGCAUUUUGCUGUUGACCUCAGGUGCUGAAUUAACAUGAUGCAACCCAGAGAUGCGAAGGGAUUUCUUUCAUUAACAGUGCUGUGAUGCUAGUGAGAACAGAAGAUGUGUUUCCUAGACAACCACCAUCACUCUUUAGGUUUCAUGUGGGUUGGUGAGUUGAAUUGCCUCAUGGAGAGUCGUGGGAGCUGAAGGCUGACACAAGUUGAGCAACAAAGUGGGAGAAGAAGGGGGGAGAGUUGGGCUUGCUCAAAAUCCAGCAACACCUCUUUCACUAAUUGGAUACUAGGAGCUUUAAAUACUGUCACUUAUCUAACCUUUUACAAUUAAUAUUAAUGGAAAUUAAUUACCGGGAAAAAGGAGGUGUUCUACUGUCAUCAUUAGGAAGAUUGUGGAACAGUUUAUCAUGAAAACUAUUUACUGGCAUGUGAAGAACAGAAGUUUGAUUGUAAACAUCCAGUGUGGAUCUACCAAGAGCAAAUUGUGCUGGACCAACCUGGAUUGACUGUUACAGUGAAGUGACACUGCUGUGCACGAAGAGCCUGUGACUUUGUCCUCAAGACUCAAGCCUGAAGAAAACAUCCAGCUUGAAUCUUAUUUCUAUCUUGCUAUCAAAAACCUGGUGCUUGGUCACCAGGCCUCACCUCCUUCCAAAGAUGCUGUGUGGGGAAGUAGCGCCUGGCUGAGCAGGGCUCCCUCUGACCUUCCUUCUACUCCUGCCUAGAAGUGGCCAGCAUCCCACAUCUGCCCCACAUCUGGAUGAUGUAAAAGAGGAGAACCUUAAUUAGCGAACAUGGUGAGCCAUUCCAAGAGUCCCCACAAAGCACAUAAAGCCUAUUCAGGUUUGUUUCAGAAUGGAUGGCAUAUACAGAGAAGUGUUAGGUUGUUUGUAAUUGUCAACACCUUUGGUGCUUAUCUGCUGGCAUGGGCCACGAGGAACAGCCCAGUGACUGCUUGUAUCUAUUUCCUAGCUGUCACAAUGUACUCGGUCAUCUCUGUUGGCUAUCACCUGUCAGAUGGACAGCAAAUCCAUUUUCUAAGAAGCACAGAGGUUUUAUUAUUAUCUGAGAAUGCUAUGAGAUUUCUUAAUCAAUCUGAACAUUCAGUGUGGCAUCCUACAUUUCAAGGUGACAUACGAGAGCCUUCCUGAAAGGGAAUCUCUGGCACCUGGCCCUAACUGCUUUCUGCCACAUACGGCCCUGCUAUCAGUAAUGGGUAUAUGACCAAGGGUAGAACAGAGCUCUGUAUUUCUGGGUUACCAUGAAAUGAUCCAUUGUGCCCUGCAAUCUACCGACAGGCAAUCUGGGACAACAAGGCACAUAACUUCAUCUUGAUAUUUUGAGAAAUGGGGACGUAAGAAUUAGAACGUUCUUGUUGGCUGCUUUAAUGCUUUUUUUCAUGACAGCAAA